AACACAAGAGGCAAAGAUCACUCGGGACCACCUUGUAUAUUGGCUACCACAGAACCCAACACAAGCAGUAAGUUAAAAUCAUGAAGCUCCUGACGUCAGAGGACAUGGCUCUGCCAUUUGUUAGGUAGGGAUCCUGUUAAAGGCUCAGCUUCCUCAUCUGGAAAUGGAAAUAUAGGCCUUGCCUGGUUUGCUGUAAUGGGUCGUGAUGAGGACCAAACUACAAAGAGUGGUACAGAUGUUAAUUACAAUGAUUUUUCCUAUGCCACCCAUGGAAACAAAAAUAGCAAGAUAGAGAAGGCUAAAUCCCAGUUUUUUUUGACUGCUAUUCAGCAAAGCCUAGGAGACUUUCAUGACACCUGGAGAGGCGGCCGUAGUGUAUGUGUAAGAGUACCGGUUCCAGAGUGGGGCUCCCCGAGCUCAGCCCCACCACUUACCAACAGCGGACCUUGGGCCAGAUGCUGAAGCCCUUUGUGCCUUGGUUUCCUGACCUAUUACUGUGGAAAUGAUGACAGUACCCUCCUCAUGGCAUCGUGAGAAUUAAAUUAGCUAAUUCAGGUGAAGCAUUUAGAAGAGGACCUCCUGACACUUAAUAACUGCUUGAUAUAAAUAAUAGCUUCUGCUACAGAGUGGCCAUGAAGUCUGGACAUGUAGAUAUUAUAUUAUCAUGCAUCAUAAGGUAGUUGAUCUGGUGUGAGAUUCCAACCUCGUGUGAGAGAGGAGAAGACCUUCAUUACACUAAUUCAUGCUGGCCCAGCCUCCAGGCCACCCCAGAUGUGAGGUGCUGUUAACACUGCUCUCAGCACUGCAAUGAAUGCUGCUGCACACGCUGUUGAGCUCGUGGACACUUUCCUGCUGGGUGAGGACCCGAACGUGAAAUUGCUGGGUCAUGGAUUCAAGUGCUACACAUAUUUUUGACCACAUUACUGUGACUCAGGAAGCCCAGGAACAGAAUUCUAGGCACCAGAACCAUACAUGUUACAGCCUCUGAGCUUUAUGGCCUCUGAGCCAUUUGUCCAGCCACAUCAUUUGCAGAUGAGAUCCUGAGACUCAGGCUGGAAAAGUGACCGGGGAAAAGUCACACAAGUCAGAGGCAGAGCUGGAGUUUCCUCAUUUCCAGGCCCGUAUAGAUCAAGACGGACGUUGGUCAAACACCUCCUAGUACUCACAUGAAGAAGCUCUCCUUUCUGCUGUAGGAAUGAUCACACACCAUUCCAAUCUGGAUACCAAAUGUCAUUGUUUAUUAAAUGUGUGCAGUGUGCCAGGCAUAUUGUGUCAUAUGUUUACAUGUGUCAUAUAUUUACAUUACAUAUGAUCGCUGGUUCUUACAACAACCCUUCAAGACAGGUCAUAUCAAGCCCAUUUUUCAGACGGGAAAAAGAGCUCAGAGGGGAUGAUUAGCUUGUUCAGGUUUUCCAGUUUCCUUAGGAAGUGGCAGAGCUGGAUCUGAACUCUGCUUGUGACUACUUGGGGGAUGGAGGAGUGAACUCCUUUUUAUCAGAUCCUGGCUGCUUCGGCACCAGAAGAAUGCUUCUUCCCCCUCAGGCCCUGGGGGGUUCCUCUAAAGAAUAGAGACUCCCGGCUUUCCAUGAGACAAAAAGCAGGCAAUUCAACACGGCAAGCCCUUAAUAUACCUGCACGUUUCUCUGUAAGGACUGAUUUAGAAAGCGGACUCACAGCCACUGCACUGAUAGCAGUUUCUAUUCUAAAACCUAUGGAAAUUGUGAACACUUGCCCCCAAAAACUCUCCCAGAAACCUUUAGGACAGUGAGGCUGUGUUCAGAAACUAAUUGCACCCAUAUCUGAGGAGCUACCACAUGAACUUCAUUAUUCACAGAA
rnacentral:lncRNA from 1 species